AGCACAGGCUGCCGAGGAGGUGGCCUUGCCAGUAAAACACAAAAAUCCUCCCGGAACAGGACCGAGCAUCUGUAACCACCAUCUACAGGAAAUACUGGAGACAGAGGAACAGGUUCAAAGACACCAAGGAAAAGUCAACUUGUAAAAUUCAGACCUUGGGGAAGUCAACAGGAUAAAUAUCCCAGUUUCUUCAACAAACACCCUGUGAGAGAGGAAAAGGAAGACAACCUACAGAUGAACAGAAACUUUAAGACUUGGGUUGCAACCACAACAUGCUGCCUUUAGUUGGAUCCUAACUCACACACACAGAUGAGCAAAAGAUACAUUCUGAGCUUUUUAGAGGUGAAAGACCCUGGAGUCUGGGCUUUGCUGCAGAAUGGACAGGAGGGGGAGAUAGUAGCAGCUCUGGAAUCGGGAUGGUGCAUCCAUGUGAGGUCAUCGUGCUCUGUUCUGUCUGCAGGUGUGUCCUCGGGCCUCUGUUAGGAAUCGCUUCACGAAUGUCUUUGCGUGAUUUUAUUUUGUUUUCUUGUCUUAUUAAAAACAGGAAGGAAAGGAGCCUGAUUGCAACAUGGUCUUCUAAGCCCUGGAUUUGGAAACCUUGACCGUGCAACUUUUAGGGGCCAGCCCGGGUUGCAUAGUUCUGCAUGCAUUUUCUCAUUUGAUCCUCAAAGUAACCCCGUGGUGAGGUCAGCUGUUAUUUGCCCCAGUGUUCAGAUUAGGAAACCAUUCCUUCCACCUGUGUCCCCCCCAAGCGCUAGCAGAACACGAGGUGGGUCCCGGGCAGGCUGCCACAUCUAAGCAGGGAGCUGAUCCUGGGCACAUGUGAGCGCCUUACUCCACGUCUGGCCUUUGGUGUCCUCAAUAGUGAAAGGGAAAUCAGAACAAAAUCACAUUUCUUCACUCCACAGGUGUUUACUGAGGCAGAUGCUGGGUUGGGCACAACCGAGGUAAACAACAGAGUCCUGCCCUGGACAGUCACCGUGUAGCGGGGGGACCCGGCAUGGCGAGAGCAGCGUUCUGUCCAUGCUCCCCUUCCAGAAUGUGCCUCUGGCUUGUCCACCUGUCUCCAUGGCUGAGGCUCCCCCUGCAACAGGGUUCAAGCCACCAGCUCCCGGCCCUGCUCGCCUCCUACAGGAGCCUCUGUCCUUCCCCUCUUGUUCUAGUAGUGGUCCUUCUAGUAGUCUUGUUCUAGUUCUAGUCCUUCCCCUCUUGUUCCCCUCUUGUUCUGCACGGCGGGCAGGGUGAUGGUUUGAACUGUGAAUUGGAGAAGGGUACACUUCCACUGGGAACCCUCCAGAAGCUCCUUGCAGUUCCAGAAGAAAACACCAAUGCCCUACGUUGGUCUUCCCCUCCUUGUCUGUUACACUCCGGCAGCACUCCAAGGUGUUUCCAAAUUCAAGGUCCCUGGGUGCCCGGAAUAUUUUCCGAUCCGUUAGCCCAGUAAGUGGCUUCUUCUCAUUCUUUGGGAUUCACCAGCUCUGAGACCAACCCCCUGCACUCUCUGGGCAAAGUCACUUCCCUCCCCAGUUACCGGAUCAUUUCUACCUGCUUAUUCCCUGAGAGCAUGAGUCCAAAUUGGAAAUUAUCCUCUUUAGUUAACUGCUUAUCAACGGCCUCCUGAUUUAGAAGGUAAGCCCAAGGAGGGCAGUUGUCUGUCUUGAAGGAGGAAUCACAUUUGGAGGCUAAGAUCCCGGGCCUGGGAGCCAGCCUGUCUGGAUUCCAGUUUCGGCUUUGUCACCGAGUUAACUGGUGAGCUUGGGCUCUCUGAGCCUCGCCGGCCCCUCCUGUCACGCUGGGGUAGUUAGCAGCACCCAUCCCACAGGACCAAGGUGAGGGCUGGAUGGCGAGCGUAUUGAAAUACUCAGCAAGUGCUGGGUUACACACUCUGUCCUCAGAGCCCGGCCCGCACUAGACAGACACUCAGUAAAUAUUUGUUGGGUGAAUUAUAAUACGGGAUAAGUGGAUCAACAGAGAUAAGCUUGGAGGAGGGACACCUCAUUCUCGCUGGGCUGUGUGUGGGCGUGUGGGUCAUGGAAGGGUUCUUGGAGGAGGGGAGGCCCGAGCUGAGACUUUUAAGCAUGGCUAAGAGGUAGGCGAGCAGCCUCGGGGACAGAGAGGAGAAAGGGCACAUCAGGCCGGCAGCGCACAGGCGAAGGCCCAGAGGGAAGGAAUCGCUCUGGGCGGGUACUAGCGAGUCUCAUCUGCGGAUGAUCAGGGCUGUGGCCGCAGGAGGAAGAGAGAAGGGCAGACCAGCCGAAGCCGGGCACUGUUCUAGAAGGAGAGACCCCGCCCCAGGCAUGUGGGGACACAGUGUUCCCAAGAAACCGUCUUGGACAUCUGCGGCCCGGGAGCAGGCGGCCGCCGCCCAGGGCGUGGCCAGACCCCCUCCUGCCCAGGGCCGUGCUCUCCGUCUCGCCGUGUGAGCCAACUGUCUGCUUGUUGACUGUGCCCUUUCCCUGGAGGGGCUGCUCCCAGCACCUGCCGACUCUCGCUCCAGAGCCAGGCUUUUUCCCAAAAUACCUUCCCGGGACAGGCGUAAGGCAUGGUGGCCCCAGACCGGCGCAAAACCUCCAGAAAAGACUUCCUGGCAGGAAGACGUACAACAGCGGUGGUACUGUGUGGAGAAGGAAGCAGAGCUCCUCAGAGAAACGGCGGCUUCUGGGGCUGGGGCAUCAUCAGGGGCCAGAAAGCAAGGAAGUAGACCAAAAAAAAAAAAAAAAAGAGAGAGAGAGAGAGAGAGAGAGAUGGGGAUGUGUCAGAGAGACACAGGAGCCCAACGCAAGGCCCUGCUACUAGCCAAAGCUGGAAGAAUUUGAGUAAGAAAAUAAAUAACGUGGGAUGGGAUCCCAAGGCAAAUAUAUACGAGUCGGUACCAGGAUAAGUGAUUGAAUAACAUGAAAAAGGAAAGAAGACGGAACCCUUCCCCACGGAAGAAUUCCAAAGAGUCUAUAUUCCUGCCUCCAGGAGACCAGGAGCCAAGUGCCCCUUGCUCCCUGUCACCCCAUCUCCCCCCGAGCGUGGGCUCCACUACAUGAUUUGUUCCGCGUGGAAGGGAAGGCGGCCCCCACCCCGUCCCUUAACCAAGUGAGGAAGGUCAAUAUCCUGGGCGGUGUCCCCCCCGGAGGAGGCUGGGAGGAGGUGAGCACCUCACCUCUGUGCCCUUCUUCCCGCAAACCCAUCUAGUCUGUAUAAACCCAAAUCAGGGACCUUCUAUAACACAGCAUCUAGGUCCUUCCAUCCCCACGAUAGCCCUAGGAGGCCAUGGCACGAUCCCCAUUUUCCAGAUGAGAAUACUGAGGCCCAGAGAGGCCAAGAAGCGGGCCCAGCAGCACACGGAGUGGGCAUUCAAAUCCAGGCGCUGUGGCAUCGGGGUCCUAAUGUGGCUCCUUGUUUCCUAAUUACAGCUGCUGUUUCGUGAGCCUUUGUCACGGUCCAGGGAGAGAGGAUGGAGUCAGAAGGACAGUGAGGAAGUGGAGACGUAGCGUUUGGAGCCCGGCAUUGGGAGGGCAGAGGGCGGUGUGUGUCCUCUGGCACCACAUCUGAGGCUGACUCGAGAAGGCAAGUGACAAAGAGCAGGCUUGGGAGACGUGGGUGGGGAAGGCAGAUGAUGAUCUGGUUUUCUGAUGGCCCAGACUGCCGGCUCUGCCACUCACCAGCUGUGUGACCUCCAAGACGUUGCUUAACCUCUCUGGGCCGUGGCUGCCUCCUGGGCUGACAAAAGAGUACCUUUCUCAUGGGCUUGUGGCCAGGGUUAAAUUAAUUUUACACCUGUGAAGGGCUAAGAAUAGCAUCUGACACAGCAGCAGGGCUAGAUCCACGCUAGCAUUAUUAUGGGAUAGUGAGUUUCUGAUCAAAUGUGGGUUGAAUGGCAGUAAUAGCUAUUAUUUAUUGAGGCCAGCCCUACUGUGGGCACCUCACCUCAUUUAAUACUCAAAAUACCCCCACCGAGUAGACAUGUUACUACCCCAUUUCACAGAAGAGGAAAACCGAGACCCAUGGAGUUUAAGCUUGUUGAGGGUCAUAUGGCUUUGUAGAGCAGGGCAGGGAUCUGAGCCCAGUGGUCUAACCACACAGCCCAGCCUUGACCCCCUCGCUAGAGCUACCCCCGGCCCCAGCCAUACCACAGACGUGGCGUGGCCGACGCUGGGUGUUCUGCCUGCCCCAACACCAUCUGUUCCCCCUUCUCUGCUAAGGCUCCUCUGCUUCUCUUUGGGGGACCACCCAUUCCUCACUCUCAGUCUUGGGGCCCCCACAGGACCUGCUUUGUGGAGGGUGCGGGGGCAGGAGCUGCCCAGAAUGGAGCCAUGCCUUGUGCACAGUGCAGGCCCUGGGGACUGAGGGUAGAACCCAGCAGACCCUAAUGGACCCCUCCCCUUCCUACCUCACCACCCCGCCCCGCAACAGCCAGGUCUCUCCUCACCGAGCAGAAGGACCCCAGGCUUGAAGGCAGAGGCUGACCCCUCUCUCUAGCUGAGAGGGCAAAGGUGGCCGCGCCAAUGUGACAACGCUGGCCCACCGGCUCCCUGCGGCCUUCUGGGAGGGCUGCCAGGAGUGGCUGACCACGGGCACGCGGAGCAAAGGCCACUGGCUGAGAGUAAGGGGCUGGCAUCCAGCCAGCCAGCAGCCACCCACGCCACCAGCAGGAUGCCUCCUGUCACCAGGGACACUGGCCUGCUUUUUUCCGCCUGCGGGCCACACCUUUCUAGCUCACACCAUGCGGCCGGGUGCGCAGAUCUGGCGCCUCAGGGCUCCGGAGUCCCUGGCGCUGCCUGCAGAGUGCCUGCCCCUG